GGCUUAUUAAUCUAUCUUUUAUUCAAUUUAAGAAAGGAAUAUUAGCAUACUACUUGACUGCAUUACGAUCCUGCUACAACGUUGACGAUCCACGAACUUGGAAGACUGUCUGUGUCAAAUGUAACAAAAGCAGAAGUCUCAUCCGACCAUUAACUUGCUGUUACUAGAGGGGCGUUUGCACAUUGCGAUUUGUCCUGUGCGAUUCGGAUUUUGGUGUAUAAUUCAUUUGAUGCCUCAAUUCCAAAAAUCUGAAUUGAAGCGAAACUUUAAUUGCACAAUUGACGCGUGCCUACUCGAUUGGAUUCGCCAAAAUACGAGUCGUACACGGCGGAUCGCGGUGUGUAAACGUACCUUAAGUAAACUAAGUAUAAUUACUUAGGUGAUUAUUGAAAAUUUUCCAAGCUGAUUCGUUGCCGUUGAGGUGAUUAUAACGUGAUAAUCACCUAAGUUUUGACUAUUAAAUGACGAAGAAAUGUGUAUUUUUAUUUUUUUCCCAAAUAAUCACCUAUGAAAUUAUACUAAAACAAUUAUUCGCCUUAGGCUCGGUGGUUAUUGUUAAAUGAAAACUUCGACUUUGUCUCUGUCCCUACUUACCGAUAAUCACCUAGCCUUCAGCAAUAAAUUGUUAAUUAUUUCUGUUUUCUAUAUUUAUAUUGAUAUUUUGUAAAGGGCCCACUGUAAUUGGUGUUAAGCUGUUGUGGUGUCCCAGCUUCUUUAAUGCAUUCAUUG